CUGCAGGACGACGGCGACAACGACUGCAAGCGACAAUCAGAGACACUUACAACGAGGAGGACAGAAGAGCAGUGAUGACUUAGGAGAAUCAAGAGAGUUCAAAGAUUGCAGCCUCACCAGAGAGAUAUCAAGAAUCGAAAUCGGGUUAGAACGAGAUUGAGAAGAGAGCAAGAGCAGAUCGAACAAGAGCCAGAUUGAGAUUGAAAUUCAGUGAAAUCGAUAUUGAAGCAAACGCACGAAGGAAUAGGUGAUUAGAUUGAACAAUUUUGAUUUUGUGAGCAAGAUUUGGAUCUGAGGAGUGAUAGAUUUUGAUUUUGUGAGCAGUGAGUUUUGCUUGUUUCUAUAAAUGUGAAUACGUGAUUAG